rnacentral:rRNA from 1 species
CAGAGUUAGGGUCUCUCAGGCCCAACCUCCAGCCCUUUGUGUACCUACCUUUGUUGCUUUGGCGGGCCGGUGGGGUAACCCACCGGCGGCUACACGCUACCGAGCGCCCGUCAGAGACCCAUCAAACCCUGUCAAUUGUGCAGUCUGAGUACCAAUAUAAUAAUUAUUA